UACGGGGGGGGCAAGCGUUGUUCGGAAUUACUGGGCGUAAAGGGCUCGUAGGCGGCCAACUAAGUCGGACGUGAAAUCCCUCAGCUUAACUGGGGAACUGCGUCUGAUACUGGUUGGCUUGGGUGCAGGAGAGGAAUGCGGAAUUCCAGGUGUAGCGGUGAAAUGCGUAGAUAUCUGGAGGAACACCGGUGGCGAAGGCGGCAUUCUGGACUGCAACUGACACUGAAAGACGAAAGCCAGGGGAGCAAACGGG
rnacentral:rRNA from 1 species